CAAAAUUCGUUGGCUUUAUUGACCGUGAGGGUUCAAGUCCCUCUACCCCCA
rnacentral:tRNA from 1 species